GACGAACGCUGGCGGCGUGCUUAACACAUGCAAGUCGAACGGUGAAGCGCCUUCCGUUUUGGAGGGUGUGGAUGAGUGGCUAACUGGUGAGUAACACGUGAGUAACCUGCCCCCUUCUUCUGGAGAACCGCAUGAAAGUGUGGCUAAUACGGGAUAUUCCGGGGCUGUCGGAUGAUGGGUCUGGGAAAGCAAUUGAUUGGGUGGGGGAUGGAAACGCGGCCUAUCAGCUAGUUGGAGGGGUGAUGGCGUACCAAGGAGGUGACGGGUAGCCAGCCUAAGAGGAUGGACAGUCAUACUGGGAGUAAGACACGGCACAGACUCCGAAGAGAGGCAGCAGUCGAGAAUGUCGCACAUUCGGCGCACGCCUGAUGCAGCGCAGCGGCGUGAGGGAUGGAGGUCAUCGGGUUGUCAACCUCUUUCGCCAGUGAAGCAGGCCUACCUAGUUUGUGUUUGGGUUGACGGUACCGGAGUAAGAAGCACCGGCUAACUACGUG
rnacentral:rRNA from 1 species